rnacentral:misc_RNA from 1 species
GAUGAUAACACUUAUAUCUCUUUUGAGUUCCAGAAUAACUCAUAAACACACAUUUUAGAGCUUUGGAUUCUAAUUUCUCAACGUGAGACUUAUGAACAAACCAAACACAACCAAAGAGUUUUGGAGGAACUUUAUAAGAAUUCUUACCUUAAAGAGCUUUUGAAGGACUCUUAAAGUUCAUGGUAUGAAGAGGCAUUCGAUUGAUAAGAUAUGCUGCAAAAAGAACAACAUCCCCCUAGUAAGAUGUAGG